AUUGAACGCUGGCGGCAUGCCUAACACAUGCAAGUCGAGCGGAUGAAGGGAGCUUGCUCCUGGCUUCAGCGGCGGACGGGUGAGUAAUGCCUAGGAAUCUGCCUCGUAGUGGGGGAUUACGUCCGGAAACGGGCGCUAAUACCGCAUACGUCCUGCGGGAGAAAGUGUGGGAUCUUCGGACCUCACGCUAUCAGAUGAGCCUAGGUCGGAUUAGCUAGUUGGUGGGGUAAAGGCCUACCCAGGCGACGAUCCGUAACUGGCCUGAGAGGAUGAUCAGUCACACUGGAACUGAGACACGGUCCAGACUCCUACGGGAGGCAGCAGUGGGGAAUAUUGCACAAUGGGCGAAAGCCUGAUAAAGGCAUGCAGCGUGUGUGAAGAAGGUCGUCGGAGUGUAGAACGCUUUAAGUUGGGAGGAAGGGCAGUAAGUUAAUACCUUGCUGUUUUGACGGUACCAACAGAAUAAGCACCGGCUAACUUCGUG
rnacentral:rRNA from 1 species